CGGGGCGAGCGAGGGAGCUCGACCGGAGAGGCGCUCAGGACAGAGGACUUUGGUUCUCCGGAACGUCUCGUUGAUGGCCGGGCUGAGAGGCCGGAAGGUCGGGGAGACCGGAAGGCGACCUCCACAACCUGAUCCGGACAAUGCCGGCGAAGGGAGCCCACCUCGCAGGUUU
rnacentral:ncRNA from 1 species